ensembl:snRNA U6 U6 spliceosomal RNA
GUGGUUGCUUUGGCAGCACAUAAUACUAAAACUGAAACUAUUGAAGAUUAGCAUGAUUCCUGCCCAAGGGUGACACACAGAUUUGUGAAGUAUUCCAGAUUUUU